UACGUAGGGGGCAAGCGUUGUCCGGAAUCAUUGGGCGUAAAGAGCGUGUAGGCGGCCAGAAAAGUCCGCUGUGAAAACUCGAGGCUCAACUUCGAGCUGUCGGUGGAAACUUUCUGGCUAGAGUCCGGAAGAGGAGAAUGGAAUUCCUGGUGUAGCGGUGGAAUGCGCAGAUAUCAGGAGGAACACCAAUGGCGAAGGCAGAUCUCUGGGCCGUAACUGACGCUGAGGAGCGAAAGCAUGGGGAGCGAACAGG
rnacentral:rRNA from 1 species